UCUAAAACCAUCCUCCAUGAAAAACCUAGCUCAAUUCAUGUCCGCCAAAACUCAUAUACACGAAAAACCUAGCCUCCAACACUCCACAAGAAACCCAUCUCCCCCAAAACCCCCCUCCACGCGAUCGCCACUCCAAGCUUUGGCUCGACUAGAGAGAGAGCUCCUCGAAUCCUCGAUCGAAACCAUUCACCUUCUCUACCUCCCAGCACGCUGCUGCCGCUAAGCUCGCUAUCUCCUAGCACGUGAAUCAGAGCCCUACCGGAGGAAAGAAGCUUGCAGGAGAGAAACUUGGAGGGGCCCAUUGUGUCUCGUUGAUCUUGUUUGAGUGAAGGAGGUAGAAAAUGAUAUCUUAGAAGAUGUAUAAGAGUGGAAAUUUGAUCCAACAAUUGAAGAACAAGAGAUUUCUUUAGCAUGGAUCCAUAUUUUCAGAAUUUUGGAAGUGGAAUGGAGAAUCAAUAUUUUCAGCCUGAGUAUGAAAGUGCUCAAGGACAAUUUGUGGAGUCAUAUCCAGCCUACCAGAGUUCAUAUGGAUUUCAAGAGGUUUCAACAAAUUUUAUGCCACAAUCUUUUCAACAGAACGAUCCUCAGAUGGAUGAGUCAGCAUGGAAAUUAAGGGAGAUUAUGCAACAAAUGAGUGAG